AGACCAUGAUGUGGGCAUUAACUGAGCAUAUGUUUGAAAAUAUCCCAUGCUUCGAAUAAUGAUUCUAAAUGUGUUUGUUUGAAGCUUGCUAUAAGAUUUCUCAUAU